rnacentral:rRNA from 1 species
AUUGAACGCUGGCGGCAGGCCUAACACAUGCAAGUCGAACGGUAGCACAGAGAGCUUGCUCUCGGGUGACGAGUGGCGGACGGGUGAGUAAUGUCUGGGGAUCUGCCCGAUAGAGGGGGAUAACCACUGGAAACGGUGGCUAAUACCGCAUAACGUCGCAAGACCAAAGAGGGGGACCUUCGGGCCUCUCACUAUCGGAUGAACCCAGAUGGGAUUAGCUAGUGGGCGGGGUAACGGCCCACCUAGGCGACGAUCCCUAGCUGGUCUGAGAGGAUGACCAGCCACACUGGAACUGAGACACGGUCCAGACUCCUACGGGAGGCAGCAGUGGGGAAUAUUGCACAAUGGGCGCAAGCCUGAUGCAGCCAUGCCGCGUGUAUGAAGAAGGCCUUCGGGUUGUAAAGUACUUUCAGCGGGGAGGAAGGCGAUGUGGUUAAUAACCGCAUUGAUUGACGUUACCCGCAGAAGAAGCACCGGCUAACUCCGUGCCAGCCGCCGCGGUAA